CAGGCGACGGCAGCAAACAUCGAGAAGAUGCGUCGCUACGCCGAGAAGUUCGCCGAGAAGAGCGGCACCUACCUGCACCCACACCCGGAGAUCACGGAGUUUCUCGUCAUCGGCCUCGCCAAGC
rnacentral:misc_RNA from 1 species